rnacentral:piRNA from 1 species
ACAAGCUGUGACUCUGCCUAUGAG